UUGCUUCAGCAGCACUUAGAGUAAAAUCAGAAUCGUAUAGAGAUGAGUUUGGCCCCUUCACAUGGAUGACACGAAAAUUCAGGACAUGUUCCACAUUUCU
ensembl:snRNA U6 U6 spliceosomal RNA